rnacentral:piRNA from 1 species
UGCUACACGUGAUGCCGCGGGAUGAUGCA